GGAGAAGAAUCCAGCCAGAAACAGCCGAACUUCAGGGGGAAACAAGAAGAAUCCUAGAUGUCUCAAUGAGAUGAAGAAUUGCCUACUGUUUAUCACCCUGACCCAGUCUUUCUCCCCAAGACAAGUCUCACAACACCGGGAACCUAUUCUAUGUCUGGAACCUCUAUAGUGUCCUGCAUAGCUUGCAAUACACGUGCCCAUUUACUAUUUUCUAAAAUGAAGCAUAAAACAUGAAACCAUUAACAUGAAAGCAGUGUUGGAAGAAGACAGGAACGUGGAAGAAUAAGACAUAAAGAGAGAGAGAGAGAAUGAGGGAACUAAAGAUUGUACUGACUGGACUGAAAAACAGUUGUGACAAUUUGGGACUUUAAAUCAUCCUCGCACUCCUAUACUUGAGCAGGCUUGAAACAAGCUGAGACAACCAGAUGCCCAACCUCCAGGAAGCCAUAUUAUCUACUUUACCUGUUUAAAUAUGGCAAAGUAAAAGAAUGGGGGGAAAAAAAAGUCUUCUCCAGAGAGCAGCUUGAGAGCCAUGAAAGCAAUGGACCAUGGAGCUCCUCUCAAGAGGGGAUAAUCCUCAUCCCCAAGGAGUGGGCACUCAUAAUUUCUGCCUAGGAGACAAAUACAGAACAUUUGUUGGUUGCUGUGUCUUCCAUUACUCUCCUCUCUCAGUGUGUAUUACUGAUAUUCCCUCCCUGCUCUCUCCCCAUAUAUCAGAUGGAUGCAGUCAGAAUACUUAUUUUGGUGUACAGAGCAAAAUAAGCUAUAUUCAGACUCAAGUUAGAGACUGCUGAGCAUAACCCCUGAGACAGAAACAAUCAUACAUCAUAAAACAAUCCUGGGCUUUGAGCUAGAUGCCCUGACCAGAGAGAGCCGGCUUCUCUCACUUGGAAAGUAUCUCCUUAUUUUCUAACUACAGGAAAGAAAGUUAGCUGAAUAUGUGGGGCACUGUAGUAGCCAUUAAAGCUGUUCACCAAAUA
rnacentral:lncRNA from 1 species